rnacentral:lncRNA from 1 species
UUCCGCAGUCCCCGCCUGGCGGCCGCCCCUGCCGCCGGGAGGGAGCCGCCAGCAGCGCCGCCGCGCCGCGCCUCGCCUGGCCGGAGGAGGAGGAGGAAGCAGGGCAGCAGGCGGGCGAGGGAGACGGAGCCGCCGCCGCCGCCGCCGAGGCAACCAAAGAGGAAGAAGAAAAACCUCGUUUUAUCUUCAAGGAUCCAGAUUGGGGCACCGCACAGGGAUUGUACAUUAUGCUGCUAAGUCAUCUCGUGAUCUUCAGCAAGGAAUUCUAGCCGAGGUGGGUGCGAAGUUGUGAGUUGCCAAGGAAUCACAACGCUCUCUCUGCUCGGCCAUCCUGAGCGGUUGGUUUUUUUUGUACA